rnacentral:rRNA from 1 species
GAUGAACGCUAGCGAUAGGCUUAACACAUGCAAGUCGAGGGGCAGCACAAGGUAGCUUGCUAUCUGGGUGGCGACCGGCGCACGGGUGCGUAACGCGUAUGCAACUUGCCCUAUACAGGAGGAUAACCCGUCGAAAGACGGACUAAUACUGCGUAUGCUCACAACUUGGCAUCAAGUGGUGAGGAAAGAAAUUCGGUAUAGGAUAGGCAUGCGUCCCAUUAGCUUGUUGGUGAGGUAACGGCUCACCAAGGCAACGAUGGGUAGGGGAACUGAGAGGUUUAUCCCCCACACUGGUACUGAGACACGGACCCGACUCCUACGGGAGGCAGCAGUGAGGACUAUUGGUCAAUGGGCGCGAGCCUGAACCAGCCACGUCGCGUGAAGGAUGACUGUCUUCUGGAUUGUAAACUUCUUUUAUACGGGAAUAACAAGAGUCACGUGUGACUCCCGGCAUGUACCGUAUGAAUACGCAUCGGCUAACUCCGU